rnacentral:tRNA from 1 species
GCCUGGGUGGCUCAGUCGGUUAAGCGUCCGACUUCGGCUCAGGUCAUGAUCUCACAGUUGGUGGGUUCGAGCCCCGCAUCAGGCU